GUGCUCGCUUCGGCAGCACAUAUACUAAAAUUGGAACGAUACAGAGAAGAUUAGCAUGGUCCCUGCGCAAGGAUGAGAAUGUUACCUGCGUCAGCAGGUGCUC
ensembl:snRNA U6 U6 spliceosomal RNA